AGUGAACGCUGGCGGUAGGCCUAACACAUGCAAGUCGAACGGCAGCACAGGAGAGCUUGCUCUCUGGGUGGCGAGUGGCGGACGGGUGAGGAAUACAUCGGAAUCUACUCUGUCGUGGGGGAUAACGUAGGGAAACUUACGCUAAUACCACAUACGACCUACGGGUGAAAGCAGGGGACCUUCGGGCCUUGCGCGAUUGAAUGAGCCGAUGUCGGAUUAGCUAGUUGGCGGGGUAAAGGCCCACCAAGGCGACGAUCCGUAGCUGGUCUGAGAGGAUGAUCAGCCACACUGGAACGGAGACACGGUCCAGACUCCUACGGGAGACAGCAGUGGGGAUUAUUGGACAAUGGGCGCAAGCCUGAUCCAGCCAUACCGCGUGGGUGAAGAAGGCCUUCGGGUUGUAAAGCCCUUUUGUUGGGAAAGAAAUCCAGCUGGCUAAUACCCGGUUGGGAUGACGGUACCCAAAGAAUAAGCACCGGCUAACUUCGUGCCAGCCGCCGCAGUAA
rnacentral:rRNA from 1 species